UUCACAAAUACUCCAAUAAAUGUUCCUCAAGUUGAAGGUUCCAAUAUUUCAAAAUAACAAGUAUUCCAUAUAUUUAGCCCAUUGAACUCCACUUCUUUACGACCUCUUACCCAAACACAUGCAAUGUCAGUAAAUUCUUCUUAGCUCAUUGAAUUCCACUUCUUUAAGAUCUCUUCUAACCCAAACACCAUGUACUAAGAUCCUUUUCUUUUCCAGUAGGCAACUUCUGCAAAAAUAGAUAGAUAAAAUUAAAUAUAAAUAAAUAAUAAAAACAAGUGACAGAAUAAUACCAGAAUAUAUAGUAAACAUUACUUUUUUUUUAAUUUUUCUUUAACAAUAAUUGUCAUACCAUACACCUCAUUUUCCAUCUCAUAUGAAUGUGACUCUUAUGAUGCUUAGCAUGUUCAUUUCUAAUGCUAAAAUUCUAAACCACAUCUUAGCUUUCCAGUACUACA
rnacentral:lncRNA from 1 species